GAUGAACGCUAGCUACAGGCUUAACACAUGCAAGUCGAGGGGAAACGAUAUUGGAAGCUUGCUUCCGAUAGGCGUCGACCGGCGCACGGGUGAGUAACGCGUAUCCAACCUGCCCACCACUUGGGGAUAACCUUGCGAAAGUAAGACUAAUACCCAAUGACGUCCAUAGAAGACAUCUGAAAUGGAUUAAAGAUUUAUCGGUGAUGGAUGGGGAUGCGUCUGAUUAGCUGGUUGGCGGGGUAACGGCCCACCAAGGCGACGCUCAGUAGGGGUUCUGAGAGUAAGGUCCCCCACAUUGGAACUGAGACACGGUCCAAACUCCUACGGGAGGCAGCAGUGAGGAAUAUUGGUCAAUGGGCGAGAGCCUGAACCAGCCAAGUAGCGUGCAGGAUGACGGCCCUAUGGGUUGUAAACUGCUUUUAUAAGGGAAUAAAGUGAGCCUCGUGAGGCUUUUUGCAUGUACCUUAUGAAUAAGGACCGGCUAAUUCCGUGCCAGCCGCCGCGGUAA
rnacentral:rRNA from 1 species